AGUCUGGGAGGCUGGCGCAAACGCAGCGGGUGGCUGGGGUAGGGGCUCAUUGGGAGCCCACGGAGCGCGGCGGCGGCUCGGGGGCCGAGUUCCCUACAACAAGGAUGGCGGUGACGGGCGCAGGGAGCGGGGCCCGGCUCUCCUUGCCUCGAGGCUCCUCUGAUUCCACUCGCGUGGCUGCGCGGCCCUGGCAGCGGCCUUCGUCCCGGGGGUGGGAGCUACACAGGGUUCCGCCCCGUCCUGGCGAGGACGCCUGAGGGGGCUCUGUGAUAAAGAAAUGGGGGCUCCGAGCAGUCAAGAAGAACAUGCCCCAAGUUAUUCGUCAGUGAGGCGGAAAUUGUGGUGUACUUGUUCCAGACCAACUAUGAAGAUAGGAUGCCCAUCCAGAAGAACGGGAAGCAUUUUCUUCCUCACCUUUGGAAAGUAAAACAAAAAAAAAAAGAAAAAUAAAAGAAAAAAGAGAGUAUUAAAAUUUCUCAAUGUAAAAUCUAUAUUUUAGAAUCACUCUACAAUAUAAGCAAAUAAUGUGUUUUUUACUGAUUACAUGCCUUUUUUUUGGGGGGGGGGGUUCUUUUUUUUUGAGACAGGGUCUUGCUCUGUCACCCAGGCUGGAGUGCAGUGGCGUGAUGAGACUUCAAUGCAGCCUUGAUCUCCCAGGCUCAAGUGAUUCUCCCACCUCAGCCUCCCAAGCAACUGGGACCACAAGGUGUGUGCCACCAUGCCUGGGUAAUUUUUUGUUUUUUUUGUGGAGAUGCGGGUCUCACUGUUUUCCAGGCUGGUCUCAAAUUCCUGGGCUCAAGUGAUCCUCCCACUUCAGCCUCACAUUGUUGGGAUUACAGUCACGAGCCACUGUACCCAUCCAUAUGUCAUUCUUUAGACACACUACUUACUAAAUUUCUCUUUUUAAAGGAUAUACUGAAUUUCCGGUUGAGCCAACUUAACAGCUAAUUUUCUAUUUUAGCUUUAAAACAUUGAUAAGCAACAUGAAGCAAUCUAGAACUUAACCUUUAAAUGGCUUUAUUAAAGAAAUCCAGCUAUGAAAAUCAUGCAGAAAUGAUUAUUUACAAACAAUCCUACCAGCACAUAAGAAAUUCUUCUUCUAUUCUGAAAUACCAUCUUCUCACAAUAUACUUUGAUGUUAUGAAUCAAUGUCUGUUCUCGAACAUUAUUUGUCUUUCUCCAUUAAACAAUACCAAAAUAAAAUUUCCAGCACAACUAAGUAUUGUUGACGAUAAGAGGAUUUAAAAAAAAAUUCUUUUAAAACAGAAGCUUAUAUACAACUUAGAAUCUAAAACCAAUAGAUUUAUGGUAAACCUUAAAACUGAACCAAAACAAACAAAAACCAAAGUUUUAAUCAUUUAAAAAUCAUGUUUAUUGAGGUACAACUUACUUAUAGUAAAACCUGCCCUUUUCAGCAUAUAGCACUGAGUCUUGACAAAUGCACAGUUACGUACCACCACCGACCAAGGCCUGGCACAUUUUCACCUCCUCAAAGUUCUCCCUGGCUGCUUCUCCCACUCCUUGGCAACCGCUAACCUGUUUUCUGUCCUUAUAGUUCUGCUUUUUUCAGAGUGUCAUAUAAGUAGAAUCACACUGUACAUAGUAUUUUGAGUCUGACCUCUGUCAACUGGCAUAAGGCAUUUGAGAAUUAUCCAUGUUGCUGUACUGGCAGUGCAUUCUUUUUUAUUGCUGAGCAGUAUUCAAUUGCAUGGCUGUACCAGUUUAUUCAUUUGCCAGUUGAAGGAUAACUGAGAUCUUCCUCGUUUUUAGCAAUUUUAAAGAAAGUUUCUAUGAAUAAUUGUGUACAGGUUUUUAAUUAAAUGUUUUGGAGAUAUAAUUCAUAUACCACAUAAUUCACCUUUUUAAAGUGCAUAAGUCACUGGUUUUUAAUAUAUUCACAAGGUUUGUGCAUAGGUUUUUGUGUGAAUACUGGUUUUCAUUCCUCUUGGAUAAAGAUUUAAUUUGGUAUUAUCCUUCCAGACACCUUUCUGUGUUUUCAUACGUAUAUAUGUAUGUCAGUUUGACCUUAGGCAGAGUAGCAUUUUCAAAAUUUUACAUGGGGAAAUUUUCUAGAGUUAAAGCCAUUUUAUUUUUCUGUUCUGUCUGGUUUUAUCUGCGUGUUAUUUACAAUCUGCUGCGUAACAAAUUACAAAGUUAGUACCUUAACACAUAUUUAUUUCACAGUUUCUGUGGGUCAGGAGAUCAGAAAUGGUUCUAUUUCAAGGACUCUCACAGGGCUGCAAUCAAGAUGUUGGCAUGGCUGGGGUCUCAUCUGAAGGCUGGACUGGAGAAGAAUCUACUUCCAAACUUAUGUGGUAGUUGGAAGAAUUUAGUUCCUCAAGGCCGCUAAACUGAUGGCCUGUGUUCCUUGCCUAUGGGAUGGUAGCUUGCUUCAACAAAGUGUGCAAGCAGAGAAGACAGAGAGUCCGCUAGCAAGAUAGAAGCCACAAUCUCUUGUAAUCUAUCAUUUUUGCUGUAUUCUACUGGUUAAAAAUAACUCAUUAGGUUAGCCUACUGGCUCUCAAGGGGAAGAGAUUAUACAAAGGCAUGAAUUUCUGGAGGAGGGAAUGAGGGCAAAGAAUUCUGAGAAGUCUGUCUUCCACAAUCUGAAGAACUUCUAGAAAGUAGGAGGAAGCGAUAUUGCUUAGGGAUGGACAACUUGGCACUGGUUAUGUAUUUCAAGUGAGGUAACCUUGUUCCCAAGAAUAAAGAGAACCAGACGACUGUAAACAUUUCCCUAAACUGAAAUGCAGACUGUUGUAUGUUCCCCUGAAAUGAAUGGUGUAAGCUGAAUAUAAGAUUUUUGACAAAAAUUUUGCUGUGUUCUCAGAUCUGGCAGGCCCCUGCCCUUGUGCAAACAAUGUUCCUGGCAGCUAUUCAUCUCCUUAGGUAAAUAAGAAUUGGAGAAAAGCUGUGCUAAGAUAGGAUGCAUUUGCUCUUGCCUUGGAAGGUUGUUUUCUGAUAAGGUUCUAUAUCCUCAGCAAAUCAAAUCAGGCACUUACAGUGUGAGUAUGCAUUCUCUGCCUGCCAGUCUGGAGAUGAUCAAAAAGCCUAUAACAGGCUUGGCCUAUUUUCCUAUUGGGUUGCUGGGCUUUUUUUUCGUCUUUAUUUACUUGUAGAGAGUUUUAGACCUCUGUGUAUGUAUGGUGUACAAGUGACAAUAUUCAGAUCUGUAAACUGUAACACAGUCUGGGAGCAAAGAAGAUAUAGAAAAAUGACUUUUACUUCCUGCUUGAGUAGUAAAAUUGAGAUUCAAAUUUUGCAUAUAGAAGUACUAUAUGGCUAACUUAUUUGGGGAGCAAAACUGACUUACCAUAAGUCUACCUGAAAUAGAAAUGAAACACUCAAUUUGUGAAAUAUGCUGAGUUUUAAUGUGUGUGGGGGCAAGGUGAAUUAACAUUUGUGAUGCAAGGAGAGGAGCAAUCUAUACUUACCAGUGUCUAUUUGACAUUGUUUGGGGACUACUGUUACACUCUAAGUCACUUUACCUUAUAACGCAGAGUUGUAACACGCUACUCUGAGCAGCUCAUGACAUCUGCUUGAAAUUUAAGUUGGGCCCCUAAUAUGUGUUAAUUAUAAGGACUUUGAUGUUGCUUUUCCGAGUUGGGUAACCUACUUUACCCCCUAAGCUAAUGUUUCCCAAAUACACCCAAACCCACAGAAAGGAAAACUAUUCCUCAUUAACUUACAGCCAACAUCAUAAACAUUUUAUAUCUAGAGCUGAUGAUACAGUCAGGUAUUUACCAACACUCAUGUAUAUAUGUAGAGUUUCAAGAAAUAAUUGCUUACCCUUACUAGAUGCAACAUAUUCUAAUGUUUGACAUAUUAUUUUUAUUUCUUAAUUUUUUUUUAAAGAUGGGGUUUUACUCUGUUGUCCAGGCUGAAAUGCAGUGGCAUGACCAGGAUUUCGACCAGAAGUUUGACUGCAGCCUCGAACUCCUUAUAACAAACAAUCCUGCUGCCUUAGCCUCCUGAGUAGCUAGGACUAUGGACACAUGCCACCAGAUCUGGGAUAUUUUAAAAUUUUUGCAGACAUAGGGUCUCGCCAUGUUGCCCAGGCUGAUUCUGAACUCCUGUUCUCAAGCAAUCCUCCUGCCUGGUCUUCCCAAACUGUUGGGCUUACAGGUGUGAGUCACUGAGCCCAGCUUGUAUUCUUUUGAUUUUAAAAAAAUAUUCUGAAUGUGAUCCACCAAAUUAAUUUCACCAUCCACUAAUAGGUAGCAACCUGAAUGAAAAAUACUGUUAUAAACUUUACACAAAACCAGAGAUUAUAAACAUUUGCCUCCAAGGAGAUGAGAGAGGCAAAAGGUACUUGUUUGCUCUGAUGGGCCCUGUUUCCUUCAGUGCCAGGAAGAGUGGCUCUCAGAUCUUUCUUCUGGCAUCCCUCAUGUAUGCAGUGUUGGUUAUUAUUUUCAAGGCCUUGGUAACAAAAUGCCCCUAGUGUGACCAGUCAGACUGACAGUCCAUAUCUGUAAUAUGGUGGUAAGUUUCCUUUGCAUGUCUUUCUUUCUUGCAUCUUAGACCUUUUACCUAGGAAAUUUUCUUUUUGCUUAAAGUACAUCAUUAAGAAUUUUCAAUGAAGGCAGAUUCUUAAAGUUUUUGUUUUCCAGAAGAGAUCUUGGAAAAUAUAAAAGGUUGGCAGUUAUUUCUUUUAGUACAUGAGAUAGUAUUACACCAAUGCUGUUGAGAAGUCUAUUGUGAGGCAAUGUGUCUUCUUUCUCUGGCUGCUUUUGAGAUUUCUCUCUGUCUUUUUUAGGGGCAGUUUUACUCUUAUGUGACUAGAAGUAGAUUUCUUCUUUUUUUUUUAAUACUGCUUGAGAUUUUAUUGGGUUUUUGAAUCUGUGGAUAUCCUUCAACAGUUCUGAAAGAUUUCCAGCCAUUCUCUUCAUAUAUUAUCUGUGCUGUAUUCUUUUCUCUCCUUUUAGAACUUCAAUUAGUAAAAACAUGUUUGAUGUCUUUUCCCACUAUUGUUUUUUGUUUCUCCCAUGCUGAAUUCUGUGUAAUUUCUUUUGAACUAUCUUGUAGUUUACAUUCUUUUUUUUUUUUUUUUGAGACAGGGUUUUGCUCUUGUUGCUCGGGCUGGAGUGCAAUGGCACCAUCUCAGCUCACUGCAACCUCUGCCUCCCGGGUUCAAGCGAUUCUCCUACCUCAGCCUCCCAAGUAGCUGGGAUUACAGGCAUGUGCCACCACGCCCGGCUAAUUUUUGUAUUCUGAGUAGAGACGGGGUUUCACCAUGUUGGCCAGGCUGGUCUAGAACUCCUGGGUGAUCUACCCUCCUCAGCCUCCCAAAGUGCUGGAUUACAGGUGUGAGCCACCGUGCCAGGCCUUACAUUCUCUCUCUUUAAGAGAGAAUGUAAGGUAUCUAAAUCUGCUGCUAAACCAUCAUUGUUUUUAAUUGUAAUAAGGUCUCUUUUAUGUACUCACAUUGAUAAGAGACAAGUAGUAAAUAAUCUUUAAAGGGCAAACUAAUUUAAAUGUGUUUUCCUGUCUGUUUACAGGACUUAGCAAAUGCACAUCUUAGAGUUCUGGGUUUCUAAUGUGUAUCUCCUCUAUGAAAUUCUUUAAAAAUAUCUGUUCUUGGUAUCCCUUAGGUUAGUCUCUUUUAGAACUUCUAAAUCAAUGGACCCUUAACUUAUAGGAGCCACCUGGACGUUAGCAACAUCUACAUUAAACAUGCUGAGCUUUUAAAAGAGGCCUGUUAGACAUGCUGAGUAUUUUGAGAUAAUAUCAUUGUUGUAUUGAAAGCUAUUGAAAACUUUAAUUUUAAAAUGCAAACGUUCUUAAAGUCCUGGUUGAUUUUAUAACUAUAAAAUUAGUUAUAAUUUUGAGAUUUCUGUCUUGUUUUUUUAUAGGGGCAGUUUUACUCUUAGGUAACUAGAUUUCUUCUUUUUUAUAAUCAUAAAAUUAGGUUUACUUUUGUUAGAAUAAAUUAAAGACAGUGAAUUUGUAAUUUGAAUAACUACUAAAAAUACACAUGAUGUAUUCUUAUUUGGGCCCUUGUGACGAAAAUACUAUUGUGGCUACAGAAACCUAUCCUAUAGUUUGAAGAACUGAGAUUACUGUCAGUAUUGAGAACAUUCCUCCUUCAUCAUUAGAAAGAUUAUAAAAAACCAGAUUCAAAGAAACUAUCAAUACUACUUAUGAAGUAUGUCUGUAAAAAAAAUUAAGCCUGAAUCUUAUCAGGCCUCUAGACCAGGGGUUCUCAAGGUAUGGGCUCCAGACCAGAAGUAUCAGCAACAAAUUGCUAAAAAUGCAGAGUCUUGGGUCAGAAAUUGGGGACCAGCAAUUGGAAUUUUACUAAGUAUACCAGAUGAUUCAGAUGCCUGCUCAAUUUUGAGGAUGACUCUUAUCAGUUUAGUUAUUAGGGUUUACAGGGGAUGGGGAACAUGUUAAAGAACACCAACUAGAUAAGGUCAAUCAGGCAAAAGUAAGAUGUCUGGACAUUCUGGGCCUCUUGAUGUCUUAGAAAGCACACAAUACCAUCUAUGAUGUGUUUUUGUCCACCAUCCCACCCAACUGCACCUGGAUCUUCCUAUUUAUAGGCAAUUAGAACAAGUUCAGUGUUACCCUGUAAUGAUUAAAACCCAAAUACAGGACUGCUAUAGCAUAAAUGACCACUUUCUUCAAUAAGUGGCACAUUAAAAAUAUAUUUAUAUAUAUAAUUGUUAUAGAUAAAAAAACAACAAAAUGGCUGGGCGUGGUGGCUCACACCUGUAAUCCCAGCACUUUGGGAGGCCAAGGCGGGCAGAUCACAAGGUCAGGAGAUUGAGACCAUCCUGGCCAACAUGGUGAAACCUCGUCUCUACUAAAAAUAGAAAAAUUAGCUGGCGUGCAUCUGUAGUCCCAGCUGCUGGGGAGGCUGAGGCAGGAGAAUCGCUUGAAUCUGGGAGGCGGAGGUUGCAGUGAGCCAUGAUCGGACCACUGCACUCCAGCCAGGGUGACAGAGCAACACUAUGUCUCAAACAAACAAAAACACGACAACAAAAUAAAGCUUAAGGAACAUCAACCAAAUGCAAUAUAUGAGCCCUAUUUAGGAUACUAUAAAAAGACAUUCACAAUAACACAGGCAAAAUGAACAUAAACUAGGUAUAGGUGACAGAGAAAUCCAAUAAACAUUGAAUUAUUCACUGGGGAAAGAAAUGAUGUGUGGGAUUUAAGUCUCUAACUCUCCCCUAUUUACGCCAAAAGAUUGUCCAUGAGUUGAAAACUUAGAGAUGGGUGACAACGCAAGAGAGAUUAUAGUGUCUUCCUUGUAUGCUUGUAAAUGUCAAAAAUAAAAGUAAUUUAAAACUAAAACAAACAUGAAACCAUAAUUCUUAAGAUGCAGCUUGAAUUCAGUUAACUAUAGCAGUUGUAUAUGAAGCAUUUCAAAGAAGUUAAUGACAUCACAGUAUUAAAUCCAUCUGACAUGGAAACCAACUCUAACUACAUCAUAGUUUUUUUUUGUUGUUGAUGUUUUUUGUUUGAGAUGGAGUCUCGCUCUGCCGUCAGGCUGGAGUACAGUGGCGUGACAGCUCACUGCAACCUCUGCCUCCUGGAUUUGAGCAAUUCUCCUGCCUCAAUCUCCUGAGUAGCUGGGACUAUAGGCGCAUGCCACCACGUCCAGCUAAUUUUUGUAUUUUUAGUAGAGACGAGAUUUCACCAUGUUGGCCAGGAUGGUCUCGGUAUCUUGAUCUUGUGAUCCGCCUGCCUCGGCCUCCCAAAGUGGUGGGAUUAUAGGCGUGAACCACCGGCACCUGGCCUAUGGCACAGUUUUAAAACUGCAUUUGCCUAGAAAGUGGACUGCUGUAUAUAGACCAAGUGUUGGGCUAUAUAUGACUGCAUUGUCUUAGGCUAUUUGGGGUUGGAGGAAGGAAGAGGCGUGAAGUAGAAAAGGAACAAGCUAAUAAAUGUUUUUUAAAAAGUAGAAUUUAAAACAAAACCACGUUCAGCUGAACACCAGAACGCAACACCAGGAUAAAAAUCCAAUUUUCAAAGAGCUAGAAGAUCAAGCUAAGCACUUACUGUAUUUUGCUGAACGUUAAAAUUAUAUAAAUGUACUACAGUUGCCUCAAGAUGUUAAAAAGUCAGCUUUUCAAAUCUAGUCACGGCCUACUCAUAUGACAGACCCAAUUCAAAUGAGCAAAAUUGAAAAGUUACACAUACAGACAACUUCUCAACCACCAGGCUGUUUAGUUUAAGUUAGAAGUCAGAAGUUCUGAGACUCUCCUUUUACCCACCUUGAGCAACCGCAGCAAGUUUUCCCUUUUCUUCAGGGCUGAGCUGCAACAUCGUAUUUAUAACAGGAAGAAGUCUCUCUCUUUCACUACCUGGUUUCAAGAAAAUGAACUGCAGCAAGACGUUCUUCAAGUAUUCCAGGUUAGCUGCAGACUUCUCUCGCUCUUGAUUCCUUUCCAAUCUUCUUAUUUCACUUUUGAGAAGCUGGUGUUAGAGAAAUGAGUUAAAAAUGGGCUUUAGGAGCUUCUGAUUAAAUAUGGCAGACUGAACUCAUGUAUUUUUCUUCUCUUCCCCCCAAAUUUCCCCCUUCCCUCCAUAUGGCAAUAAAGGAAGGAAUUCAGUUAACUACAGCAGCUGCAUGUGAAGCAUUUCAAAGGAGUUUAUGACAUCACCGUAUAAAAUCCAUUUGACAUGAAAACCGGAACUCCAACUAUGAGAUAGUUUCAAAGCUGCAUUUGCCUAGAAAGUGGAUUGCUGCGUAUGAACCAAGUGUUGGGCUAUAUAACUCCACUGUCCUAAGCUAUUUGGGGUUGGAAGGAAGAGGGGUGAAGUAGAAAGGCAAGAAGCUAAUACAAGAGGAGAAAAAGUAGAUGAGACACAUCAAGAAAUUCUCACGAGAAACAGAUGAAGAGGUGGAAAUGAGUCAGUCCAGCAGCUUACCAAGUAUCACUGACGAGGAGAGGAUGCAUCCUGUGUAAAUACUGGGGUUCUUGUCUCAGAAGCACAGGGUAUCAUGGAAAUGGAGUUGAAAGCUGGGGAACUGAUGGAACGUCUCCAUGAGGAGCAACUAACUGGAGCCAUGGGUUGGUACCAAGAUGUUCCCUCUGCCUUCUACUUUCGAUAGAAACUAAGCCAGUAUGGCAUGGGGCUCUGAAAAUGGGCUGAGGGGAACAUCGGCAGCCUCCACUAACCCCCUGCCCCUACCCUGUUCCUGAAGUCCCAGGCAGUUAAGACGUCCACAGUGAACGGCACUUAAUCAAAACAAAAGUUCAGACACAGUGAAAAUUCAGGAAUAUAAGAUAAUGUAAAACACUAUCAGAAAAAUGAGGCAAAGAAUGAUAUAAAAAAGGUAAUAGGAUGUUCAAGUCUUUGAGGAAGAUUUCCAGGUUGAAACCAAGCCAUAGCUUUUAGUAUAUUUUCAUUUUAGGUUAGGCAAGAAAGUUAGCGAACUUUGUCCUCAAACCUAGGACCAUUUAAAAAAGUGACAAUAAAGAAGACUAAGAAAUCAUGAAGAGAGUAUAAAUUUAUGAAAAUAUAACAUUUGGCCAGGCGUGGUGGCUCAUGCCUGUAAUCCCAACACUUUGGGAGGCUGAGGCAGGCAGAUCACGAGGUCAGGAGAUUGAGACCAUCCUGGCCAACAUGGUGAAACCAUGCCUCUAGUAAAAUAAAAAAAAUUAGCCGGGCAUGGUGGUGCGUGCCUGCAGUCCCAGCUACUCGGGAGGCUGAGGCAGGGGAAUCGCUUGAACCUGGGAGGCGGAGAUUGCAGUGAGCUGAGAUUGCACCACUGCACUCCAAACCUGGAGACAGAGCGAGACUCUAUCUCAAAAAAAAAAAAAAAAAAAAAAAAAAAAAAGAAAAUAUAACAUUUAAAUAAGUCAUUUAGGUUUACUGGGCUAGUUAGUGAUUUGUUAGCUACGAUAAUGUUUUUAUUAGUCAGAAAAUGUUAUUUUAUAGAGAUGCAUACUGAAGUAUUUAAUGGUGGAAUGUCAUGAUAUAUACAAUUUACUGAAAAUAACUGAAUUCAGCUUUAAAAUAAUCUGACAAGGAUAGCUAGUGGCCUUGCACAGUGGCAGGACAGAUCUAUUAGGAGCAGCAAAGUACAGGGGAAAAGCAUGUACUUUUCAGACAGCUAUGGGUUUAAAUUUUGUUCCACCAUUUACCAGCUUCAAUUUUUCUCUCAACCAGUGAUGAGAUUAAAUAACGUAUGUAGAGCCCAGGGCCUGGGUCAUAAGAACUCCUCAAUAAGCAGUAUGACUAUAUUCUGAGGGGUGAUUUAUCAGUGAGCCAGGGUGGAAAUACCUCAUUUGAGUAAUCCUCAACUGUUCUGCAACAUUCCUAGAUGUUUCUGGUGUCUACUUUAAACAGGAAAAACUUCCCAUGCCACUUUGCCAUCUCCACCUGAAAACUGUUUAGUAGUUCAGUACUAUAAAUAUCAGUUGAAUAAUUUAAAUUCACUGGUUAUCUUUAGAAUUCAACGACUCACACCCAUUUAAGUUUUAUUUAAGCAUAUGUGAACAAUGAUUUGUGAACAUCUCUCUAGUUUCUAAAUCUAUUACGGUUUCUUAGAAAAAGUAGGAAUUAAGAAAUAAUCUUUAUGUAAUAGGUGUAAAAGAAGUAUUUUGGCUGGAUGCAGUGGCUCAUGCCUGUAAUACCAGCACUUUGGGAGGCCAAGGCAGGCGGAUCACGAGGUCAGGAGAUCGAGACCAUCCUGGCUAACAUGGUAAACCCUGUCUCUACUAAAAUUACAAAGAAAUUAGCCAGGCAUGUUGGCGGGCACCUGUAGUCCCAGCUACUCGGGAGGCUGAGGCAGGAGAAUGGCGUGAACCUGGGAGGUGGAGCUUGCAGUGAGCUGAGAUCGUGCAUGUGUAUGGAGGGUCAAGAAAACCAAACUGGCGGUUUUCACGGCGGCCAGGUUUUCUGAUCUCACCUUAAUUUGCUCCAUAAGAAUUGCAUUGGUUGCUUCUGUUUCCCGAAGCAGGCCGUUUAAGUGAUCUGCACUUUUU
rnacentral:lncRNA from 1 species